rnacentral:rRNA from 1 species
GACGACGCUGGGCGGCGUGGAUUAGGCAUGCAAGUCGAACGGUAUCAUCCGUUCGGGGGUGAGAGAGUGGCGAACUGGUGAGUAACACGUAGGUUAUCUACCCUCAAGACGGGGACAACCCAGGGAAACUUGGGCUAAUACCGGAUGUGAGCUAACUUUUAGUUGUUUAGAAAGGUGGCGUAAGCUGUCGCGUUGGGGAUGAGCCUGCGUCCUAUUAGUUAGUUGGUGAGGUAACGGCUCACCUAGGCAAUGAUAGGUAGGCGGCCUUAACGGGUGGUCGCCCACACGUGGGAUUGAGAUACGGCCCAGACUCCUACGGGAGGCAGCAGUGGGGGAUCUUGCACAAUGGGCGAAAGCCUGAUGCAGCGACGCCGCGUGAGCGAAGAAGGCCUUCGGGUUGUAAAGCUCUGUCUGGAGGGACGAACAAAAUGACGGUACCUCCGGAGGAAGCCACGGCUAACUACGUG